rnacentral:rRNA from 1 species
AAGGCUCAGUACAACAGCUAUUAUUUAUUUGAUCAUAAACAUAGUUACUUGGAUAACUGUGGUAAUUCCAGAGCUAAUACAUGCAAACAACAUGGAUCCCUGUAGCAAUAUGGGUGAAACAUGUGCUUUUAUUAGAUUAAAACCAUGUCCAUCUUUGGUGGAUUUGUUUUAGAUGAAUCUGGAUAAUUAUGGCUGAUCGUAUGGUCUUGCACCGACGAUAGAUCAUUCAAAUGUCUGCCCUAUCAACUAUUGAUGGUAGUAUAGAGGACUACCAUGGUUGCAACGGGUAACGGGGAAUCAGGGUUCGA